rnacentral:lncRNA from 1 species
GAGCCUGGGUCAUUAUCGCCCUGCUGGGGAAAGAAAGCCAGCAACAAGCAGAGAUCCCCCUCCGAUUGCAAUUUUGGAGGCUGGGCUGCCUUUAUGGCUGGGAUUUGAGGCUGAUUACGGGUGGGAAGACACAAGUCUUGGGAUUUUGGGGGAGGUGGGAGGCAGAGGAAGGGGUUACCUGGCUGCAGGCUGGCUCUCCUCUGGCGCAGGGGUGGCGGAGGACGGGGACGGCCUCGACAGAUGAGGACAGCUUCGAUGGAUGGAGAUGGCCUCGAUGGAUGAGGACGGCCUCGACAGAUGGGAACAGCCUCAGCAGACAGGAACAGCCUCGACGGAUGGGGACGGCCUCCUCCAACCUCCCUGGCUGCCUCCUCUCCGCAGAAAACUAAAAGCGAAACUCCGUCAGGCGCGCCAGCAGCUGCCGGAGAGCGGUGCCAGAGCCGAGAGGCAGACUUCUUCACUUCAGGAAACGAUAAUGACCUGCCUUCCUGCCCUGCUGGUGAUUAGCACAGCUGGAGGCUGCAUCCCUGAGCACCAGCACGGCUUGUUUUUGGCCGGCCAGGAACUAUCUCGGCUGUCUGCUUCUGUCCUGGGUGGGUGGGUGAGCGAGGCAGGAGAUGGAGCAGCGAUGCACGGCUUCGGCACGCAUGAAGAAAUGGGAGACAUCAAAUGCAGGAGCUUUUCUUCCUGGUAUUAAGUGGUUGGAACCGUUUCCUGAGAAAAGACAUGGCAAUUUUUUAAAUUUUGAUGUAAAAGUGGUGAAUGGGAAAUAGUUCGUCCUUGACAGGUGUGGAAGAUCUCUAGAAGCAAAGCAUGGCUGGGUUCUCUGGCACUGGAGAAAAGGGAUGUUUUUCCUCUAACUUUGGAUCAAUCUGGAUGGAUUUCCAUAGGGACAGCAAACAGCUCGUCCUUCCACUCCAAUUAAUUAAACUGGUGUUCAUGUAGGCUUUCCCAAAAUGCUGUCCACGCACUGUUUUACAAGGCAGUAUCACUAAUUAGUGCAAAUACUCAACCCACUACAGACAAUUGGUAUUUUCGGGCCCUGUGUUGUGGCUGUGCAUUACUGCGGUCUGAAACAACUCAGGCUUGAAGAAAACCUGGAGGGCCUGCUCGGAAAAUGUGGCUCAGCUUAACCCUGGAAUAUUUGGGACCGGAGCAGACACAGCCACGCAGCACGGAGCAGACAAACCUCAGGGAAAUCAAAUAAGCAGGAAGGAUCCAGCCCGUGUAACGAGGCUGCGUGAUGCCUUGCUCUCACUGAUUUCAUGCUUGAUGCGUUAUUUCUAAGAAAACAGCCUGGGGCUCUCUUAAAACAUAGCUUUACAUGACAAGAGGGGAACCAGAGGAAGAGAAGCAGCCAGAUUUUGCAGCUGGCUGGGGGAGCAGCUAGCGGCACAGCUCCUGAACAGCAGACCCUAAUGUGCCUUUGCUAGGAGCCAGGCAUGGCUAUGAAGCUGCUGUGCAGCAGCUCAGGAGUGGUUCAGCUCCCUGCAGCUGCUGUGGAGCUGGCUCAACUUUGCUUUGCACUGAAAAACCCUGAGCCGUGCUGUGUCUGCUCCUAAUUAGAUGAGGUCUGAGGAGGCUGCCUCGAGUCGGUUCCCAUUUUAGCCCAAAACGGGCAGUUUUCUGCAAGCUCAGUUUGCAAACUGCAGGUAAAGUCCCCUGCCUGGCACGGAUUUGGAUGCUUGCAUGAUUGUACUGUUGGUCUUAUGCCAUCCAAACAGGAGCAUCGGGGGGCCAGGAGAACUCUCUGGGGCUGCUGUGGUGCCAGCAGGAUGGAUAUUGAUGUCCCAAACUUUGUGGCAGAGCAGGGAGCCCCCAGUGCUGGUGUCUGCAGCCAGACACUCAUGAUAAUGCUUAGUUUGGGAUGCGUGUCCAGACCUUCUUUGGCAAUAAACUUGUGAUUUCCAGACUGCUAUUAUGUAUGGCCUGUAGCUUUUGUGCUAACUUGGCUCCAAACUUUAUGCAGAAUCAUCCCAGCUCUUCUCUCCAAAGGAGUUUAUAGAAAAGAGAUGCAGAUUUUCUGCCUACAGCUAUGCGAGUCUGAAUUCUUCUUCACACAGGUAACCAGAUGAAGAGGCACCAUUUCAGGUAGGGUCUUGUGGAUGUUUUGUGCAAUGGUGGAAGUAUUUGCAUUGAGACACCCUUACCUGAAAUGCUCUAACAUGAAACAUAUUUUUUUGCUGUUUGUGUUGUGAUGCUGGCACACAACUAACCUGUGACCAGUUUGUGACCCCAGAUCUUCCUCCUCUUCUGUCACCUCUGGCUGAUGAGAUCAUGGGUUCAGUCCUUGACAUGGGAUUUGCAGUCUGCCUGAUGUCAUUCCACUCAUGUCUUAGCCUCUUCCUAUUCUCGUAUGACUUUAUCCUCCUUUAUUGAUGUUGCUUCAUAACCCCGUGAAAUGCACAGGGUGUAUUUCAUUAGCGCUGGACUACUUGCGUGGGAGUGCUAAUGAAAACAUUAAAUGAAAUCAAGCCCAAGGCUUUGAAAAACUCCUUCGGAAGGAUGAUUCUUCCUCGGCCUUGAAGAGGGUCCAAUUCUGAGGUGAAGCCACGCAAGGUUCCCGGCACAACAGAGCUCCCCUGAUGCAAAUAGCCUCUCUUUUGACAUGAUGACAAAUGAAUUUCAUCCCAACACAUCUGCAUGGAUGCUAUCGGUCUCCUGAGCCCUGUCUUGAUGCUGCUCAGAUGUGACAUCAACAUCUCAAGGCUUCUCCCAGGAGGGUUCAUUUGCUGAAGAGACAAUUAUCAUGGGCUCCUUAGGAGGUAGAAUAAAGGAAAAGCCCUUUAGAUGCAGCAGUGUGUGUUUUUUUUUUUUCUGAAGUACCUCAGUGCCAGCACAUAGUUGUCCGCGAUGUAAUUUUUUCCCAUUAAUAUAUCCUGCAGACCCUGCUGGAUAGCACUGCUGUUAUGUUUGCAAAAUGUUACGGUGUUAGCGGGGCUCUGCUCCUUUCAUGUAUCUUGACAAUAUGAAAUAUCGGCCUCCGAAGUGUUGGUUUUCCAAAGUAUUUAAGUGCUCCACUCUCCUCGGGCUAAUGGACAUCUUAUUAAAGCUGUCAAACUUCAUUUCUGGCUAGCCAGAUGCCACAGUCUUAUGGUGUAGCAGAGAGGUGUCCCUGUGUUUUCUUUCAAUGCUGUCAGCUAGCCACUGGAUUCCCCUAUCCCAGGGCUUGCUGCUAAUAGAAACAUAACCAUAUUUUGCUGCGAAGUGCAUAAAAACAUCAAUUUUAUUGUGUAAAAAGGGCCUACUGAGUACACAAGCAGCGGCAGCUUUAACAGCUGAUUGCUUGUUCUGAUCCUCCAGAGUGCGGUUUUACAAGGCGGUUUGGUUUAAGAGCAGCACAGAGGGAAAAUUGUGUCUUUGGGAUGUACUCUGCAUGAAAUGGCCCCCUUGUACGCAGGAUAUUGGAGAACGAGGUACGUAUUAUGCUCUUAAAAUAGAGCCCUUUGAAACUGGCAUGGGAUACUCAGGCUUGUCUGAGUAUCAUUAAUCACAGUUAUGGCUCUCAGACAAAAUGAGCCUCGACUUCACGUUGCUUGUUAAAAUAAGAAAUGUGUGUUUCAGUAUUUAAUUUGCAGCAG